rnacentral:rRNA from 1 species
CAACAGGGAUUGCCUCAGUAACGGCGAGUGAAGCGGCAACAGCUCAAAUUUGAAAUCUGGCCCUCGGGUCCGAGUUGUAAUUUGUAGAGGAUGUUUUUGGCGCGGUGCCUUCCGAGUUCCCUGGAACGGGACGCCUUAGAGGGUGAGAGCCCCGUACGGUUGGACGCUAAGCCUCUGUAAAACUCCUUCGACGAGUCGAGUAGUUUGGGAAUGCUGCUCAAAAUGGGAGGUAAAUUCCUUCUAAAGCUAAAUACCGGCCAGAGACCGAUAGCGCACAAGUAGAGUGAUCGAAAGAUGAAAAGCACUUUGAAAAGAGGGUUAAAUAGCACGUGAAAUUGUUGAAAGGGAAGCGUUUGUGACCAGACUUUUUCCUGGCGGAUCAUCCGGUGUUCUCACCGGUGCACUUCGCCUGGUUUAGGCCAGCAUCGGUUCUCGUAGGGGGACAAAAGCUUCGGGAAUGUGGCUCCCUCGGGAGUGUUAUAGCCCGUUGUAUAAUACCCUUAUGGGGACCGAGGUUCGCGCUCUGCAAGGAUGCUGGCGUAAUGGUCAUCAACGACCCGUCUUGAAACACGGACCAAGGAGUCGAACAUUUGUGCGAGUGUUUGGGUGUUAAACCCUCACGCGUAAUGAAAGUGAACGGAGGUGAGAGCCCUCGGGUGCAUCAUCGACCGAUCCUGAUGUCUUCGGAUGGAUUUGAGUAAGAGCAUAACUGUUCGGACCCGAAAGAUGGUGAACUAUGCGUGGAUAGGGUGAAGCCAGAGGAAACUCUGGUGGAGGCUCGCAGCGGGUUCUGACGUGCAAAUCGAUCGUCAAAUCUGCGCAUGGGGGCGAAAGACUAAUCGAACCAUUGAGGACCAGCGGUAAAUUUCAUUUACUAGGUGGUUAAGAGGUGGCCCGGCAGGGCAGAACACCUAGGCUGGGCCGAGUUACCCUGAAGCCGCGGGAGAGGUUACCCCGGAGCUACCUAGGACCUACCUAGGAGCGCCGGGACGGACCUACCCUGAAGCUACCUAGUAACGAAGCCCGGCCGACACCGCUAAAUUGCGGGGACAUCCCUUCAGAGGGCUCCAGGCUACCGCGGCGCGCUGAAAAGCCCGUCCGCACCAGGGUUAACGCCCCUGGGUACGGUAAUAACGCCUGCGAGCUGGGACGACCUGCAGCCAACCCCGCUAGCCAGGGGAGAGUUCACUGACUAUACAGCGGUGGGUCAGCGCCGAGCUGGCCUAAGACAUAGUCGAUUCGGAGCCCUGAAAAGGAGCCCUUCAGCGGAGCUAGUAGCUGGUUCCAGCCGAAGUUUCCCUCAGGAUAGCAGUGUUGUUUUCAGUUUUAUGAGGUAAAGCGAAUGAUUAGGGACUCGGGGGCGCCUUUUAGCCUUCAUCCAUUCUCAAACUUUAAAUAUGUAAGAAGCCCUUGUUACUUAAUUGAACGUGGGCAUUUGAAUGUAUCAACACUAGUGGGCCAUUUUUGGUAAGCAGAACUGGCGAUGCGGGAUGAACCGAACGCGGGGUUAAGGUGCCAGAGUAGACGCUCAUCAGACACCACAAAAGGCGUUAGUACAUCUUGACAGCAGGACGGUGGCCAUGGAAGUCGGAAUCCGCUAAGGACUGUGUAACAACUCACCUGCCGAAUGUACUAGCCCUGAAAAUGGAUGGCGCUCAAGCGUCUCACCCAUACCCCGCCCUCAGGGUAAAAACGAUGCCCUGAGGAGUAGGCUGGCGUGGAGGUCAGUGACGAAGCCUAGGGCGGAGCC